rnacentral:rRNA from 1 species
AACACAGGUGCUGCAUGGCUGUCGUCAGCUCGUGUCGUGAGAUGUUGGGUUAAGUCCCGCAACGAGCGCAACCCUCGCCUUUAGUUACCAUCAUUUAGUUGGGGACUCUAAAGGAACCGCCGGUGAUAAGCCGGAGGAAGGUGGGGAUGACGUCAAGUCCUCAUGGCCCUUACGCGCUGGGCUACACACGUGCUACAAUGGCGGUGACAGUGGGCAGCAAACUCGCGAGAGUGCGCUAAUCUCCAAAAGCCGUCUCAGUUCGGAUUGUUCUCUGCAACUCGAGAGCAUGAAGGCGGAAUCGCUAGUAAUCGCGGAUCAGCAUGCCGCGGUGAAUACGUUCCCAGGCCUUGUACACACCGCCCGUCACACCAUGGGAGUUGGGUUCACCCGAAGGCGUUGCGCUAACUCGCAAGAGAGGCAGGCGACCACGGUGGGCUUAGCGACUGGGGUGAAGUCGUAACAAGGUAGCCGUAGGGGAACCUGCGGCUGGAUCACCUCCUUUCUA